CCCAGAGUGUGGGUGGAGUGAUGGACUCAGACUUGAAUCUUCAGACACAUAAAGACGGUUACAAAGUCGGCCUUCUGCCACCUGAAGAACAUUUCAGAUGAUAGAAACAACAGGAUCUGGAGUAACUCAAUGACUUUUUAAUUAGUCACCUCCACCAGCUCCACUUCAUUUCUGUUUUUUAAG